rnacentral:sRNA from 1 species
UCAAAAAGCGACUUUUAGCUCAAUGGAGGCCACCCUAUGUAGCUAUAAAUUAAGAUCUCUUCUUAUAGUGCCAAGUGAUAAUUAUCAAGUCCCAUAUCCUUCAUCUUCAUUGGAAUUAAUUGCUGCAUUAUGCAGGCAUCAAACUCAAAGUGUGCCAAGAAGACAACCGGUACUUUAUGAUUAAUUUUAACAAGUCUAUCACCAGAUAAAAAUAUAAAGAUGCAUUACUCCCCUCCAUUCCAAACAACAUAUGAGAACUACAUGAG